AACGAACGCUGGCGGCAGGCUUAACACAUGCAAGUCGAGCGCAUCCUUCGGGGUGAGCGGCGGACGGGUUAGUAACGCGUGGGAACGUGCCCUCUUCUACGGAACAGCCUCGGGAAACUGAGAUUAAUACCGUAUACGUCCCGUAAGGGAGAAAGAUUUAUCGGAGGAGGAUCGGCCCGCGUUGGAUUAGGUAGUUGGUGGGGUAAUGGCCUACCAAGCCGACGAUCCAUAGCUGGUUUGAGAGGAUGAUCAGCAACACUGGGACUGAGACACGGCCCAGACUCCUACGGGAGGCAGCAGUGGGGAAUCUUGGACAAUGGGGGAAACCCUGAUCCAGCCAUGCCGCGUGGACGAUGAAGGCCUUAGGGUUGUAAAGUCCUUUCGCCAGGGAAGAUAAUGACGGUACCUGGUAAAGAAGCCCCGGCUAACUCCGUGCCAGCCGCCGCCGUAACAC
rnacentral:rRNA from 1 species